CGAUAAGCGUUCAUGAACUUCAUGACCCUCCCCACCGCAGGUCAUUUGGCUAUUGCAGAGCUCUUCCCAAUUGGCAACAGGCUGCUGCAUUCCAUUUAAACCCUUCAAAUAAAUAGUCUAAACUCUAAACGUAGGCCAUCACCGACAAAAACUGCGCUGUAGUAGGCCUAGCCACACAAUCCUGGAAAUUGUAGUCCGGCGUAGGCUAGUGACUGAUGAAGCAAGCAUUACGGGGAGAAAGGUUUUGGGUUUAAGGAGCUUCAGUCAAAGCACCACGAUUCCUUCCCCUCUGGUAAACUGCCAAGCGCCUCCACUCAUCUUAUUCAUUUACAUACGGGGAUCAUCCAAUUAAAAACGAAUCGAUGCUGACAAAGCGUUUCUAUUUUACGUUGCUUACAUAGCCUCUCCGAAAAUGUGUCAAAAAAAAAAACGUGGACAAAAUGUGUUGCUGUAUUUUAAACGGGUAGAGGCCUAGACCUACUGUAGAUUGGUCAAGCACACUAUUGUGGACUACUCCAUUCAAUGUGUAUACCUACAAGCAACAAAGUAACGCAGGUCAGUGGAGUGAUUGGUUCCAGUCAGCCCACCGGGUUCCGUGCAGUUUGAGUUAUGCAGUGAGGUUAAUUAUCUACACAAUGGCGGAUACUUUAAUGUCACGCGCUGAGGGGAUUCUGCGGGUCGUUUCAAGCUCCUCGUUUAUUCGGUGUGUUUUACUGCGUAUGUUAAGAUCAGCAUCGUCUUGCCUCAUUGAAUCACCGGUGCUGUGCCUGUCAAGUGGAGGGAUGGCGCUGAGGUGGGAUUCCACGCUGGUGUUGGCCGCCAUGCUUCUGGUUUGCUGUGGCGCCGAUCCCACUGACAUUCUCUACCGGAUGCUCGAGGAGCAGCCGCCCAACACGUUGAUCGGCAGCCUGGCAUCGGACGAGGGCCUGCCCGACUCAGGCCACCUGUACAAGCUGGAGGUGGGCGCCCCUUACCUGCGCGUGGAUGGCAAGACGGGAGACAUUUACACCACAGAGGUCCCCAUCGACCGUGAGACACUGCGGGACUGCCGCAACCUGCUCGAGGGCGACAAGUGCUUCCUGGAGUUCGAGGUGUCCAUCACGGACCUGAAGCAGGGCCAGGGACCGCGGCUGAUUGAGGGCCGCAUCGAGGUGCAGGACGUCAAUGACAACACACCCCAGUUCACCUCGCCCAUCCUCAUGCUGUCCAUCCCAGAGAACACACACAUCGGGGCACUCUUCUCCAUCCCCAUGGCCAGCGACAAGGACUCGGGCCACAACGGCGUAGCCGAGUACUCGCUUAGCGCCGGGCCUGACGCCGACCAGCUCUUCAACCUGCAGGUGGCCGAGGACACAGACGAGAAGCAGCCGCAGCUCAUCGUCAUGGGCAACCUGGACCGUGAGCAGAAAGACUCGUACGAUCUCAACAUCCGUGUGGUGGAUGGGGGCACACCGCCGCGAGCCAGCAGCGCCCUGCUGAGGGUGACCGUCACCGACCAGAACGACAACGCACCCAAGUUUGAGAGGAGCCACUAUGAGGCUGAGCUGGCUGAGAACAGCCCUGUGGGACACUCAGUCUUGCAGGUGAAAGCCAACGACGCUGACAUGGGUACCAACGGGGAGAUCGACUAUAGCCUGCACCAGGCCUCCGAUGCCGUCCAGAGGUUGCUACGCAUUGACCGCUCCACAGGGAUCAUCUACGUCAAGGGGCUGGUGGACCGCGAGGAGGAGAGCUUCCUCAAGUUCUUCGUGGUGGCCAAGGACCGCGGCCCCAACUCCAAGAACUCCAAAGUCCUGGUGACCAUCAACGUCAAGGACCAGAACGAUAAUGCACCCGCCAUCGAGAUCCGUGGCAUCGGCCUGGUCACCCACCACGACGGCGUGGCCAACAUCUCAGAGGACAUGCCCAUCGGCACGCCUGUGGCCCUGGUGCAGGUGUCGGAUCGUGAUGAAGGGGAAAAUGCUGUGGUCACCUGUGUGGUGGCCGGGGACGUCCCCUUCCAGCUGCGGCCCGCCAGCGAGUCAGCCAACGACCGCAAGAGGAAAUACUUCCUGCAGACCACGACCCUGCUAGACUACGAGCGCAUCAAGGACUACAGGAUUGAAAUAGUAGCGGUGGACUCCGGUAACCCUGCACUGUCCAGCACAAACUCCCUGAAGGUGCAAGUCACCGACAUGAAUGACAAUGCCCCUGUAUUCUCCCCCACCCUGUUUGAGGUGGACUUUGCAGAGGAGAAUCAGCCAGGUGAUAAGGUCCUGGAUGUGGUGGCCACGGACGCGGACAGUGGGUCCAACGCAGAGCUGACCUACAGCAUCAUCAUGGACUCGACCACUAAGGGGCUCUUUGAGAUCGACCCCAAAACGGGAGAGGUGCACGUGAGGAAUACGCUGGACCGUGAGCACAGAGAGCAGUACGAGUUCCACGUGGCAGCGGCCGAUAAGGGCUCGCCUAGCCUGAGGGGGACAGCCACGGUAGUGGUCAAGGUGCUGGACCGUAACGACAACGAACCCAAGUUCAUGUUGAGCGGCUACAGCUUCUCCGUUUUGGAGAACAUGCCUCCGCUCAGCCCUGUUGGCAUGGUGACGGUCAUCGAUGCAGAUAAGGGCGAGAACGCCAGGGUUCGGCUCUCGGUGGAGCCCGACAAUGGCAAGUUUGUCAUCCAGAAUGGCACAGGCACUAUCCUUUCCAGCAUCUCCUUUGACCGUGAGAAGGAGAGCACAUACACUUUCCGCCUCAAGGCUGUGGACGCCGGUGACCCUCCCAGGUCCUCCUACGUGGGUGUGACCAUCAACGUCUUGGACGAGAACGAUAACUCCCCCUACGUCACCAAGCCCUCUAACUCCUCCUACAAGUACCUCCCACCUCUCACGACCCCCGAGACACGCGUGGAAGUGGUGGAGGCUGAAGACAUCGACACAGGACCCAACGCCGAGCUGGUCUUCAGCAUUACCGGCGGGAACCCCUACGGACUGUUUCACAUCUCGCCCACCAAUGGGGAGAUAACCCUGGCCCAGGAGUUCACCCGCAAGCACAACGGGCUCCACCGUCUGGUGGUGAAGGUGAGCGACAAAGGCAAGCCACCACGCCACACCACCGCCCUGGUCCACAUCUUCGUCAACGAGACCAUGGGCAACAUCACCCUGAUUGAGUCUCUGGUGGGUCACAGCCUCUACACUCCUCUGGACAGAGACAUUGCCGGGGACCCCAACUACGCGCUGGCCCAGCGCAGCAAUAUCCUGUACGGCAGCCUAGCGGGCAUCGCCGGAGUCAUCCUGGUCAUCGUGGUGGUGGUGGUGAUCCGCCAUCGCAUGCAGAAGGACACCAAGAGCGGCUACCAGGCGGGCAAGAAGGAGAGUAAGGACCUGUACGCCCCCAAAGCAGGGCCCAAGAAUGGCAAGGGCAAAAAGAGCAAGAAGGGCAAGGUGCCCAAGCCCACCAAGCCACUGGAGGAGGAUGAAGAGGCCAGCCUCCAGAAGGGCCUCAACUUCAACCUCAUAAACGAUAGUGUCAAUGACAGUCCCCGGAUCCACCUGCCCCUCAACUACCCCCCGGGCAGCCCCGACCUGGGCAGACACUACCGCUCCAACUCCCCACUGCCCUCCAUCCAGCUGCAGCCCCAGUCCCCCUCUGCCUCCAAGAAGCACCAAGCCGUUCAGGACCUGCCUGCCACCAACACCUUUGUGGGCACAGGUGACAACAACUCUACAGGCUCCGAUCAAUAUUCGGAUUACAGCUACAAGGCAAACCCGCCGAAAUACAGCAACAAACAGGUAGGCGACUACUUCCCCACAGCAGGGUACAACAGGAACAUUAUAUGGACCGACGAGGUUUGGUAGAAUUUGGACUGAAUCACAGAGAUUUGCUACCAAAGCUGCACUGAUCACUCAUUCUCUCACCGCGAUCACGCCACCACCUUUCCCAAAUCAGGGCAGGCUUGCCUUUUCAUCUCUCAUUUUUAUUUUUUGUUAUGUUUAUGUUUGUCAUUUAAAAAAAUCCUCACCUUAAAAUGGACUCACUACACUUUCACGCUAAGAAGGAAACAUUUAAUUUAUCUCAACCUUUUGAGGGGUUUAAAUGAAGGAGCUUAUGUUUUUUAAAUGAAGGAGCUUAUGUUUUUGUGUUGUUUUUAUUUUACAGGAGGCACAUCUUUGGUUGAGCACCUACACUGCCCCACACAGAGUCAUUCCGUAUAUUUUAAUGUGUUUAGAGAAAUCAUUUGGUUUUAAAGUCCCUUUUUAUGGCAGGAUUCUAUUUCCUUUCACACUGAGUUUGUUCAUUUGAGUGUGACAAAGUGCUGGUGAAUUCCUUAGACACUUUUAUUGUCUGUUGGCUACCACUGGAGAGUACAAGCUUGGCCUAACUGCACUUUUUUUAUGUUUUCACUUCAAAAUAAUUAAAAUCAUUCACCAAAGGGUAGAUAGCCAAGGGGAAAGAAGGGAGUGGGGGAAGGUAAGCAAAGAAGACAUAUAGAAAUUGAAAAGCACACUUAACGACAAGGGAAGGUCCUUUCAGACACCUUGUGUUAUUUUGAAGCCUGCCACUGCACAUCCUGUCAGGCCAUUGAAAAAGGACUCUUCAUUUACUGGGGCUUAAGUCAAUUGUUUGCACAGAUUAAUGGCAGGUAAUUCCAGCCCCGCUCGCCUGUACACAGAGAGUGCCUUGCUUUAUUUAACGUACAUAUGUGGGGUGGUUAAAUUCAUGCUCAUAAGUAGUGUGGUAUGGCACCUUUAUGAGUAAUGGACUUAAGGCCCCGGCAAGCUGUGAAUAAUGUCACAUCCACUGUGAAACGAGAGGCUCUGAAAAGAAAGAACAGGAGACCGAGGUUGAUUGCAUUUUGCAGUAGUAUCUGUUGGAGAGUAUACCAAAAAAACAAGAUUGCUUUGUUCGUAUGGCCUCUUUAAAAUGAUUUGGAGACAAUCGUAUGAUGUAGUAAUAUGCAAGUUGUACAUAUGUGAAUAACAAACUAUGUUUGCUGAUGUUGUAUUUUUAGUUUUACUCAUCAUGUGUUUGUUCUGAUUGCAACAUGUCCUGUGUGUGAUUUGUACUCAAAUGGAGAACAUUCAUUUUUUGUGAGUAACUGAGCCACUCAGUUGUCCUUGUUAGUGAUGCCUGCAUUCACCAACCCAAUUCUCUAACAAUCAAAUUACACACACAAACACACACACACACACAUUUGAAUACAGGAGGUAGUACUGUUAUUGUCAUGCUUCAAGUGAGCGUCAUAAUGUUUGCUACACUAGAGUACCCAGGAGGCAUUGCAGUUCAGUGUUCCAUGUUGCUUGAGUUCAGCUGUAUUUAAAGCUGCAGUUAUCCCCAUUUUGACGAGACAUUUUCAUUUUGCUUCUGUUUUUGUUUUAUCCAUUUCUUUGUUUGUAAAAAUAUUGUACCCUGGGAGAAAAUUUGUUCCGUUUUUUUUUUACGACUAAAUCCAAUUUUAUUUCAAUAAAAACGUUGUUAAAAUGGUGAAAUCA
rnacentral:lncRNA from 1 species